CUGCAUCAUAACAGAUGUCUCAGCAGAAACCUACAGGUACUAUUGGACCUCCUCAGCUUGCCCAGGCCAGUGAAGGGCCCCGCACUUCCCUUGUCCAUCACUGUGACCUCCAGGAAGGAACUGCUUUGGUCUUCAGGGGGAAUGAGCUAUUUCCCUUGCAGAGAAGUGCUCCCUGUAAUGCUGGCUCUGUGAUGUUCACACCUCUGAGCACUUUGCUCAGCAAAUGACAGAGCUCUGGGUGCUUCCUGCUGGCAGCCAGAACUUGCCCCCAUGCAUGGGCUAUUUUAUAAGCAGUAUGCCCAGAUGCUUUUCAUCUAGGGCUGCUGCACACACUUUGAACUGAAUGUGCUCACUCUCAUUUUCUCAGAGAGGAACACGGUAUAUUGACUGGAUUUAGACCAACGUGCCCAUUAUGAUGAGAUGCACUGAGAGGGCAGGUGUCUAUAAAAGAAGUUUCAUGGCAGUGUUUGAGCAUUGGGUACUAAACCCUUUGCCCUGCAUGUCAGUGAGCAGGUCCAGCUAAGCCAGCCAGCAGAUCUUUCAGGAUUGUUACAACAGAAACAAAAAGAAGAAGCCCCUGCAUUGCGAACACCUUCAGAAAGCCGGGCUACGUGAGGAGGAGCUGCUAUCCCUGGUGGGUGCUGCAGUACAAGCAUCUCCCAGAUGAGCCAUUACACUCCCACAAGGAGCUCCACAAAGUGCUGCCUCUUCCCCAUGCAGAGCCCACGAAGCUGCUCUCACAAGUGCCUUCAGAAAUAAAAUCUUUCCACUGAGGCUCCCCAAGCCUAUGGUGGGCUAACACAGGACUCAGUUUUGAAUGACCCAUUGAAAGGAGACAAAUGAAACCAUCCUGAGUCCCUCUUUUCUUCCCCCAAAUGUUGCAGAAGUGUAGCAGUUGUGCCAG